UGUAAACCAGGGACUAGAUGGAAGU
rnacentral:piRNA from 1 species